rnacentral:rRNA from 1 species
GACGAACGCUGGCGGCGUGCUUAACACAUGCAAGUCGAACGGUAAGGCUCCAGCUUGCUGGGGUACACGAGUGGCGAACGGGUGAGUAACACGUGGGUGACCUGCCCUGCACUUCGGGAUAAGCCUGGGAAACUGGGUCUAAUACCGGAUAGGACCGCACCGUGAGGGUGUGGUGGAAAGUUUUUUCGGUGUGGGAUGGGCCCGCGGCCUAUCAGCUUGUUGGUGGGGUAAUGGCCUACCAAGGCGGCGACGGGUAGCCGGCCUGAGAGGGUGGACGGCCACAUUGGGACUGAGACACGGCCCAGACUCCUACGGGAGGCAGCAGUGGGGAAUAUUGCACAAUGGGCGGAAGCCUGAUGCAGCGACGCCGCGUGGGGGAUGACGGCCUUCGGGUUGUAAACUCCUUUCACCAUCGACGAAGGGUUUCUGACGGUAGAUGGAGAAGAAGCACCGGCUAACUACGUGCCAGCAGCCGCGGUAAUACGUAGGGUGCGAGCGUUGUCCGGAAUUACUGGGCGUAAAGAGCUCGUAGGUGGUUUGUCGCGUCGUCUGUGAAAUUCCGGGGCUUAACUCCGGGCGUGCAGGCGAUACGGGCAUAACUUGAGUACUGUAGGGGAGACUGGAAUUCCUGGUGUAGCGGUGAAAUGCGCAGAUAUCAGGAGGAACACCGGUGGCGAAGGCGGGUCUCUGGGCAGUAACUGACGCUGAGGAGCGAAAGCAUGGGGAGCGAACAGGAUUAGAUACCCUGGUAGUCCAUGCCGUAAACGGUGGGCGCUAGGUGUGGGUUUCCUUCCACGGGAUCCGUGCCGUAGCUAACGCAUUAAGCGCCCCGCCUGGGGAGUACGGCCGCAAGGCUAAAACUCAAAGGAAUUGACGGGGGCCCGCACAAGCGGCGGAGCAUGUGGAUUAAUUCGAUGCAACGCGAAGAACCUUACCUGGGCUUGACAUAUACAGGAUCGCGCCAGAGAUGGUGUUUCCCUUGUGGCUUGUAUACAGGUGGUGCAUGGUUGUCGUCAGCUCGUGUCGUGAGAUGUUGGGUUAAGUCCCGCAACGAGCGCAACCCUUGUCUUAUGUUGUCAGCACGUUGUGGUGGGGACUCGUAAGAAACUGCCGGGGUUAACUCGGAGGAAGGUGGGGAUGACGUCAAAUCAUCAUGCCCCUUAUGUCCAGGGCUUCACACAUGCUACAAUGGUCGGUACAGUGGGUUGCCAGUCCGUGAGGGCGAGCUAAUCCCGCAAAGCCGGUCUCAGUUCGGAUCGGGGUCUGCAACUCGACCCCGUGAAGUCGGAGUCGCUAGUAAUCGCAGAUCAGCAACGCUGCGGUGAAUACGUUCCCGGGCCU